GACGAACGCUGGCGGCGUGCCUAACACAUGCAAGUCGAACGGGGAGUUAGUAAUAACUCCUAGUGGCGAACGGGUGAGUAACGCGUAGAUAACCUGCCUCUAAACUGGGGACAACACCGCGAAAGUGGUGCUAAUACCGAAUGUGGUAACUUGAUCGCAUGAUUGAGUUAAGAAAGAUGGCCUCUAUUUAUACGCUAUCGAUUAGAGAUGGGUCUGCGUCUGAUUAGCUAGUUGGUGAGGUAAUGGCUCACCAAGGCGACGAUCAGUAGCCGGUCUGAGAGGAUGAACGGCCACACUGGGACUGAGACACGGCCCAGACUCCUACGGGAGGCAGCAGUGGGGAAUCUUCCGCAAUGGACGAAAGUCUGACGGAGCAACGCCGCGUGAGUGAAGAAGGUCUUCGGAUUGUAAAGCUCUGUCGUUUGGGACGAACGUGGGUAGUGUGAAUAAUGCUAUCUAAUGACGGUACCAAAGGAGGAAGCCACGGCUAACUACGUGCCAGCCGCCGCGGUAA
rnacentral:rRNA from 1 species